GCCUGGCUGGCUCAGUUGGUAGAGCACAUAACUCUUGAUCUUGUGGUUGUAAGUUUGAGUCCCAUGUUGGGUA
rnacentral:tRNA from 1 species